ACACCUUCUGUAAAGUGUGUGGGGCUGUGCUGCAGUUUGAGUCACAAAGAAUUUCACAUUAUGAGGAUUAUCUGAUUCUGAGCACAUGAACAAGAUGUACCCUCCAAACAUCUGAGAGGAUUAUCUGAACCACUUCAGAGCAUUGGAGUCUUGUCUCCAGCUGUGGCCCAUCCUUCAUGCUUCAGAGAAAGGCAAAACAAAAAACAAACAAAAAGCCCCCAACCCAGAAUACAUCUGGCCAAUUGUGAUACAGGGAUGAGGGGGGAGGAGGAUUCCUUCCUGACCCCUUCAGGGCAAAAAGCAUGCUCAGAAAGUUCGCCUUUAUUUUCAAAUGCACAGUGAACACGAUGAUGGACAAGAACCUGGCAAACAGAAGAGACAAGAUUAUGUGAACUUUCAGGUGGAUGGGAGUGGAGUAGUGGACAAAAACAAAUAUUGCAAUCUUUGCAACAUGAUUUUUACUUCUCCAGUUGUUGCUCAGUCUCAUUACCUGGGAAAAAUACAUGCCAAAAAGCUGAAGCAAUUAUCAGGAGACCAGCCUCAAGUGCCUGCACAGAGCACUCAACCACAAACAGGUUCCCCCACUGGUCCUUCUACAUCUCUGGCACUACAGCAGCCCUCAGCUGAGAAGCUCUCCCAGGAUUUUAAUGUUGAAGAGUCCACAUCACCCUCGAGCAUUGCUUUGGAUUUAAAUGAUCCAGACAAGUAUUGCAAGCUCUGCUCAGCUCCCUUCAAUAAUCCAUUGAUGGCCCACCAACAUUAUGUUGGCAAGAAGCACAAAAGGAAUGAAGCACGGAAGAAGAUGAUGGCGGAGAUGGGAGAGGAUGCUGUUCCUGCGGAAUCCAGUGCAAAUGCAGUUGGAGUUGGUAACUACAUAUGUCCUAUAUGUAACAUCACUCUUACGUCUAUAGAAAUGUACCAGUCCCACAUGCAAGGAAAUAAACAUCAGAUUAAAGAAACCAUGGUUGUCAACCUCAUAAAGAAUUCAAAGAAAACAUAUGACUCCUUUCAAGAUGAAUUAGAAGAUUACAUUAAAGUGCAGAAAGCUAGAGGACUGGAACCAAAAACAUAUUUCAGAAAAGCAGAGGAGGAAGAGUUUGAAAACUACGAGUCAGAAGCAGUAAAGGAUUGUGAUGAUAUUGUAUCUUCCAAUGUUACUUUUGAACAAGGACAGCAUUCCAUCCUCUUCUCAGAAACAUAUAUGUCAUCACAUGCUGUUGAAAACAGAUCGCUGUGCUGGUCACCAGCUCAUGAGAAUAGGCUAAGACUAGAAAACAUGGCUAAAUGCCAUGACAGCAAGGAAUAUUAUUCAGAAAUGCAAACAUCUCAGGUGAUCCCUUUCAAAGAUGACAGCUAUGGCCUAUCAUCUGCAGAAUCCAGUGACUGCUACAAACGCAUCUCUUCUGAUAAUAGCACCCGCUCCUAUAAGAAAGGCCAAAAGCUUCGAAGGAAACAUGAAGAGGGGGAAAGACACACUGGGGAAGGAAAAGAGAAAUACAACAAAGAAGCCACAAAGCAGAAGAAAAAGGAAAACAGUGAAGACACAGAUUCUGGAAAGGACAGUGAAAUGCAAAAGCGAAGAAAGAUUGAUAUAGAUUCAACUCACGAGAAAAAAUCAAAGCACAGUAAAGACAAAAGAAUUAAAGAAAUACCCACUGAGAAGGAGAGUAGAAAGCACAAAAAGGAUAAAAGGAAACAACAGCCUGAUGGAAAAACAGAAGAAGAGAUACUUUGGGAUGAAUCUAUCCUGGGAUUCUAAUAGAGGUUUUGAUUAACUUUAUGAAGUUGGUAUUUUUUGUAGUCUCUCUUAACCAUGGUGUACUAUGUUAUGACUCAAUUUUUGUCCCACUCUGUGGAAGCGAGAAAAAGCCUGACUUCUGAAACUAUUGGGUAGUAGGUAUGAAUCAGCUUUUAAUAAUCUCAUACACACAACCGUCGUACAACAACAUGAAUUGAAAGCCUAUAAUCUGUCCUGGAAUGUGCUUCAAAUAUGGCUUAGCAGAUGAAAGAAAACAAUCUCUCAUCCUAAGGAAAGAGGAGAGCUAUGGGCGGAUCACACACAUCAACCACACUCUUCUCUCUCCGCUGUCUCCUCAGCCGUUCAUGUGGCAAAGGUGUUAUGUAGGCUAACACGUGCAAAGCUGUGCGCACAGUGUGCUGCUUGGCUGUGCGGAGCAGGUGCUUGCAAGGCAUCAGUGGGCCCAUGAAAAUGAGCUUCCCACCACUUGCUGUGCUAUGCUAGCUGGCUUGAUUUGUCUCAUUCACCAUUGAAUAAUACUGGUGCCUGCCUAUGGAGGUAUGGUGUACAGAACAGAGAAACAACACAGGCAAGAGGCUAUCUCAGUAUCCCAGAUGAGUUGCCCAACUUUCUACCUAAUUCUUCUGAGAACGUUAAUCCAGAUGAUCUCAUUGGUCCACCAAGCAACAACCUUCUUUCCAGUCCAUAGUUGAGGCUCACUUCUUCAGUUGUGCCCUCAAGAAAUGAGCAAACAAUUAUAUCUACAUUACUCUGGGGGGAAUUCUGCACCAAAAAAUUAAAAAUUCCGCAA